UACGUAGGGGGCGAGCGUUGUCCGGAUUUACUGGGCGUAAAGCGCGUGUAGGCGGCCGGCUAAGUCGGGUGUGAAAGCCCGGGGCUCAACCCCGGGAUGCCGCCCGAGACUGGUCGGCUUGAGGACGGAAGAGGGGCGUGGAAUUCCUGGUGUAGCGGUGAAAUGCGUAGAUAUCGGAAGGAACACCAGUGGCGAAAGCGGCUUCCUGGUCCAGCACCGACGUCAGGCACGAAAGCGUGGGGAGCAAACAGG
rnacentral:rRNA from 1 species